AGUGAACGCUGGCGGUAGGCCUAACACAUGCAAGUCGAACGGCAGCACAGUAAGAGCUUGCUCUUACGGGUGGCGAGUGGCGGACGGGUGAGGAAUACAUCGGAAUCUACUUUUUCGUGGGGGAUAACGUAGGGAAACUUACGCUAAUACCGCAUACGACCUACGGGUGAAAGCAGGAGAUCUUCGGACCUUGCGCGAUUGAAUGAGCCGAUGUCGGAUUAGCUAGUUGGCGGGGUAAAGGCCCACCAAGGCGACGAUCCGUAGCUGGUCUGAGAGGAUGAUCAGCCACGCUGGAACUGAGACACGGUCCAGACUCCUACGGGAGGCAGCAGUGGGGAAUAUUGGACAAUGGGCGCAAGCCUGAUCCAGCCAUACCGCGUGGGUGAAGAAGGCCUUCGGGUUGUAAAGCCCUUUUGUUGGGAAAGAAAAGCAGCAGGUUAAUACCCCGCUGUUCUGACGGUACCCAAAGAAUAAGCACCGGCUAACUUCGUG
rnacentral:rRNA from 1 species